GACGAACCGUGCGAACGUUAUUCGGAAUCAUUGGGCUUAAAGGGCGCGUAGACGGAUGACCGCGUCGAGUGCUGAAAGCCCCCGGCUCAACCGGGGAACGGGCCUCGAAACGGGUCGUCUCGAGUGGAGGAGGGGGACCCGGAACGUCCGGUGGAGCGGUGAAAUGCGUUGAGAUCGGACGGAACGCCGACGGCGAAAGCAGGGUCCUGGACUCGUACUGACGUUGAGGCGCGAAAGCCAGGGGA
rnacentral:rRNA from 1 species